rnacentral:tRNA from 1 species
GCUAGCGUAGCUCAAGGGCAGAGCAGCUGUUUUGUAAACAGCAGGUUGAGGGUUCGAAUCCCCCCGCUAGCUCCA